rnacentral:rRNA from 2 species
CGGUGGCGAAGGCGGCCCCCUGGACGAAGACUGACGCUCAGGUGCGAAAGCGUGGGGAGCAAACAGGAUUAGAUACCCUGGUAGUCCACGCCGUAAACGAUGUCGACUUGGAGGUUGUGCCCUUGAGGCGUGGCUUCCGGAGCUAACGCGUUAAGUCGACCGCCUGGGGAGUACGGCCGCAAGGUUAAAACUCAAAUGAAUUGACGGGGGCCCGCACAAGCGGUGGAGCAUGUGGUUUAAUUCGAUGCAACGCGAAGAACCUUACCUGGUCUUGACAUCCACGGAAGUUUUCAGAGAUGAGAAUGUGCCUUCGGGAACCGUGAGACAGGUGCUGCAUGGCUGUCGUCAGCUCGUGUUGUGAAAUGUUGGGUUAAGUCCCGCAACGAGCGCAACCCUUAUCCUUUGUUGCCAGCGGUCCGGCCGGGAACUCAAAGGAGACUGCCAGUGAUAAACUGGAGGAAGGUGGGGAUGACGUCAAGUCAUCAUGGCCCUUACGACCAGGGCUACACACGUGCUACAAUGGCGCAUACAAAGAGAAGCGACCUCGCGAGAGCAAGCGGACCUCAUAAAGUGCGUCGUAGUCCGGAUUGGAGUCUGCAACUCGACUCCAUGAAGUCGGAAUCGCUAGUAAUCGUGGAUCAGAAUGCCACGGUGAAUACGUUCCCGGGCCUUGUACACACCGCCCGUCACACCAUGGGAGUGGGUUGCAAAAGAAGUAGGUAGCUUAACCUUCGGGAGGGCGCUUACCACUUUGUGAUUCAUGACUGGGGUGAAGUCGUAACAAGGUAACCGUAGGGGAACCUGCGGUUGGAUCACCUCCUUACCUUAAAGAAGC